GCGUCGUCGAGGACGUCGGCUCCGACGUCUCCGGCCUGCAGCGCGGGGACGUGGUGGUCGCGCCGUUCGUCUGGGCGGACAACACG
rnacentral:tRNA from 1 species